GUUGGAAGAAGUGGCAAUAUCCCAGCUGGAACAACAGUUGAUACAGAUAUUACACACCCGUAUGAGUUUGAUUUUUACCUCUGUAGCCAUGCUGGAAUACAGGGUACCAGUCGUCCUUCACACUAUCAUGUUUUAUGGGAUGAUAACUGCUUUACUGCAGAUGAACUUCAGCUACUAACUUACCAGCUCUGCCACACUUAUGUACGCUGUACACGAUCCGUUUCUAUACCUGCACCAGCGUAUUAUGCUCACCUGGUAGCAUUCAGAGCCAGAUAUCAUCUUGUGGACAAAGAACAUGACAGUGCUGAAGGAAGCCACGUUUCAGGACAGAGCAAUGGGCGAGAUCCACAAGCUCUUGCCAAGGCUGUGCAGAUUCACCAAGAUACCUUACGCACAAUGUACUUUGCUUAAAAAAUCCAAGUAUUAUUCUCUGAGAGGAAGAACUGAAAAAUGAAUCAACAUACAACGUAUGUUUCCAGUGGAGUCAGUUGAGUAAGGACACCUCCAGCCAUACAGAAACCAACACUGUGUGGGGCCAGGGUCUGAUCCUUAUGUUGACACAAGAAAGAUUGUUUACUUCAUCAAGGAACACAGCAUCAUUAUGCAAUAUGAAACCAGCCAACUGCUUUUUGUGCGGUCUCCUAUAGGAAGUAUCGCGAUUGUUUCGUUUUCAUUUCUUGUAGUCUAACCCUUUUAAUGCCUUUACCUCAAGUUGCUUGGCAGCACAACUCUCUUUGCAAAAAAAAGUAAAGAAAAAGUAAAUGAUGGUUUAAAAAAUACACACCUAUAUGAAUAAUCAAAACGAUUGUUCACAAUUGUGUGUGCAAAAAAAUUAAUGUGCAUUCAUUUAUUCUUGUAAAGGUAUCUGUAUUUUUAAAAUAUAUACAUGCAUACUUAUGCAUAUAUAUCUGGAUCUAGAUUGAUAAUACAGUAGAUAUAUAUGUGUCUGUGUAUAUAUUUUAUUGUUCAUUCCAUUGGGGAACUUCCCCUUUUGUUCUCCCAUCACUACCACCUUUAUUUCUCUCUCUGUGUCCCUUGCCUUCAUCACCUACAUUUUUUUCCUAAUGCUGCCUGUAGCAGUCAAGUGUUCAUAUAUCUAGUUCAUUUGAAUGUGAAACAUGGCAAACUA